GCCAAUGUGGUGUAGUGGUUUGAGCACUGGACUAUGACUCUAGACCAGGCCAGGGUUUGAAUCCCUGCUUGGCCA